GACGGAGGAUGCAAGCGUUAUCCGGAAUGAUUGGGCGUAAAGCGUCCGCAGGUGGCAGUUCAAGUCUGCUGUCAAAGACCGGGGCUUAACUUCGGAAAGGCAGUGGAAACUGAACAGCUAGAGUAUGGUAGGGGCAGAGGGAAUUCCGGGUGUAGUGGUGGAAUGCGUAGAGAUCCGGAGGAACACCAGCGGCGAAGGCGGCAUCCUGGACCGAGAUUGACGCUGAACAGCGAAAGCUAGGGGAGCAAACGGG
rnacentral:rRNA from 1 species